rnacentral:rRNA from 1 species
AAUGGAUAAGAGCUUGCUCUUAUGAAGUUAUUCGGCGGACGGGUGAGUAACACGUGGGUAACCUGCCCAUAAGACUGGGAUAACUCCGGGAAACCGGGGCUAAUACCGGAUAACAUUUUGAACCGCAUGGUUCGAAAUUGAAAGGCGGNUUCNGCUGUCACUUAUGGAUGGACCCGCGUCGCAUUAGCUAGUUGG